rnacentral:misc_RNA from 1 species
GUGAAUCAUCGAAUUUUUGAACGCAAAUUGCGCCUUUUUCUGAAGGCAUGUCUGUUUGAGGGCACCAUUUAACAAAUAAUGUGCAGCGUUUUUUGUUGCACACGUUGAUGAGCUUUCCAAGAAUUUUAAAUUUUUGGUGGCGCAUAAUGAACAGCGUGAAAGUUUUUUUAAGUCGCGGUGAAUAAAAAUUUUUCUUUGGUUUGUCAA